CGACUCUCGGCAACGGAUAUCUCGGCUCACGCAUCGAUGAAGAACGUAGCAAAAUGCGAUACUUGGUGUGAAUUGCAGAAUCCCGUGAACCAUCGAGUUUUUGAACGCAAGUUGCGCCCGAAGCCUUUUGGUCGAGGGCACGUCUGCCUGGGCGUCACGC
rnacentral:rRNA from 1 species